CCUACGGGAGGCAGCAGUAGGGAAUAUUGCUCAAUGGGGGAAACCCUGAAGCAGCAACGCCGCGUGGAGGAUGAAGGUUUUCGGAUUGUAAACUCCUUUUGUUAGAGAAGAUAAUGACGGUAUCUAACGAAUAAGCACCGGUUAACUCCGUGCCAGCAGCCGCGGUAAUACGGGGGGUGCCAGCGUUACUCGGAAUCACUGGGCGUAAAGAGGUCGUAGGCGGGAUAGCAAGUCAGAUGUGAAAUCCUAUGGCUUAAACACAGACCUGCAUUUGAAACUGUUAUUCUAGAGUAUGGGAGAGGUAGGUGGAAUUCUUGGUGUAGGGGUAAAAUCCGUAGAGAUCAAGAGGAAGACUCAUUGCGAAGGCGACCUGCUAGAACAUAACUGACGCUGAUGCGCGAAAGCGUGGGGAGCAAACAGGAUUAGAUACCCCUGUAGUC
rnacentral:rRNA from 1 species